rnacentral:rRNA from 1 species
UACGUAGGGUGCAAGCGUUAAUCGGAAUUACUGGGCGUAAAGCGUGCGCAGGCGGUUUUGUAAGUCUGUCGUGAAAUCCCCGGGCUCAACCUGGGAAUUGCGAUGGAGACUGCAAGGCUAGAAUCUGGCAGAGGGGGGUAGAAUUCCACGUGUAGCAGUGAAAUGCGUAGAGAUGUGGAGGAACACCGAUGGCGAAGGCAGCCCCCUGGGUCAAGAUUGACGCUCGGUGCACGGA